AAGUGGGCAGUUGUAGCCUGUGGAAAACCUGAAAAAGGGGGAAAAAAAAAAUAAGCAAAACCAAGAACCAAUUAUUAUGACUCCGUUUAAAAGUCUACCGAUUUACUAUAUUUUACUUCCAAGAAGCUCAAACUCCUUUUCCAUAAUUCAGCCGUCCCUCAAGACAACCCUACUCUCUGUAUUUGCUUUCCAAGGAUAUCUGUCUCCUUCACAAGAUCACUCUCUUUUUAGUGUUUUUACUUGAUCUAUAAUCCACUAUUCAUCUAUAGGUAGAGAACCCUCUUUUCCAUUUUUUAUCACAAUCCACAAACCUUGAUAUAUAAUCCUUGAAACUGAGGAAGAACCACUUACAGGAGCACUCAUGUCAAUAAAAAGAUGUCAAGUUGGAUGCUUGUGCAUGAUUUUGCUCAGCUUUUUGGCACUGCAACAAGUAGUUGUUGGAGCAAGGUAUCUGCAAGAUAAGGUGGAUGAUGGUGAAAAGCCUGAUGAUAUGUGGAGUACCAGUAGAAGUACCAAUAAAAGUACUUCCAAUGAUAAUGAUCAAGGCUUUGUUGCAACCGUCAACAGAGAAGUGCCAUCUUGUCCUGAUCCUCUACAUAAUAGCACUUUAUCAUAGGUUCACAUAUUCGGAUUCACCAUGUGAAAGCUGUGGAUAAACAUAUCAAGAGACAAGUAUUGAUCUCAUCAAUUAUCUGUUUUCAAUUUUUCUGUUUUUAUAAGAGUUCAAAUACUGUGAAAUCAUGCUUCACCUGUAUAUAUAUUUUUUUCACUCCACAAUGAAUUUCAGUUAUUUUCUUUAUUUA